GACGAACGCUGGCGGCGUGCUUAACACAUGCAAGUCGAACGGAAAGGCCCUGCUUUUGUGGGGUACUCGAGUGGCGAACGGGUGAGUAACACGUGAGUAACCUGCCCUUGACUUUGGGAUAACUUCAGGAAACUGGGGCUAAUACCGGAUAGGAGCUCCUGCUGCAUGGUGGGGGUUGGAAAGUUUCGGCGGUUGGGGAUGGACUCGCGGCUUAUCAGCUUGUUGGUGGGGUAGUGGCUUACCAAGGCUUUGACGGGUAGCCGGCCUGAGAGGGUGACCGGCCACAUUGGGACUGCGAUACGGCCCAGACUCCUACGGGAGGCAGCAGUGGGGAAUAUUGCACAAUGGGCGGAAGCCUGAUGCAGCAACGCCGCGUGCGGGAUGACGGCCUUCGGGUUGUAAACCGCUUUCGCCUGUGACGAAGCGUGAGUGACGGUAAUGGGUAAAGAAGCACCGGCUAACUACGUG
rnacentral:rRNA from 1 species